UACCAAAGCAACAAACAUUUAAGUCAAUGAGACAGCAGCACCACACUACCAAAGCCAACAAACAUUUAAGUCAAUGAGACAGCAGCACCACAAUACCAAAGCCAACAAACAUUUAAAUCAAUGGGACAGCAGCACCACAAUACCAAAGCCAACAAAUAUUUUAGUCAAUGAGACAGCAGCACCACAAUACCAAAGCCAACAAAUAUUUAAAUCAAUGAGACAGCAGCACCACAAUACCAAAGCCAAAAAACAUUUAAGCCAAUGAGACAACAGCACCACAAUACCAAAGCCAACAAACAUUUAAAGUCAAUGUUGUAUUGUAAUCUCGUGUGAUAAACAUACGUACAUUUUAC
rnacentral:lncRNA from 1 species